UUCGCAAUGCCCGAAAGGGUGACGAAGCGACGCCGCGUGUGGGAAGAAGGCCUUCGGGUUGUAAACCACUGUCGGGAGUUAAGAAAUGUAAGGAUAUGAAUAGUGUCCUUGCUUGACUAAGGCUCCGGAGGAAGCCACGGCUAACUCUGUGCCAGCAGCCGCGGUAAUACAGAGGCGGCAAGCGUUGUUCGGAAUUAUUGGGCGUAAAGAGCACGUAGGCGGCCUUGCAAGUCAGUUGUGAAAGCCUUCUGCUUAACGGAAGAACAGCAGCUGAUACUGCAAGGCUAGAGUGCGGAAGGGGAGAGUGGAACUUCUGGUGGAGCGGUGAAAUGCGUAGAUAUCAGAAGGAACACCGGCGGCGAAGGCGACUCUCUGGUCCGUAACUGACGCUGAGUGUGCGAAAGCUAGGGGAGCAAACGGGAUUAGAUACCCCGGUAGUCCUAGCCGUAAACGAUGGGCACUAAGUAGAGGGGUUUU
rnacentral:rRNA from 1 species